rnacentral:miRNA from 8 species
CGACAACAAGAAACUGCCUUGA